CCUCCUUAUCUUGAAGUAAAACUGCUUAAUGGAAAUUCUCUUUUAAGAGCGUUUCACGAGUGUUCACACAAAUUACAUGAUAACAAAUUGAAAGAUACCCUGAUGGGGCUAUAGCUCAGCUGGGAGAGCGCCUGCCUUGCACGCAGGAGGUCAGCAGUUCGAUCCUGCUUAGCUCCACCAUUUACUUUUACUCUGCGUUAGUUCGCAGCUCGUGUAGUAAACUACACGUCGCUACUAACUGCCUUGAUUAAAAAUAAAUGACCAUCUGAUAUCUUUUAACUAAAGAAAAAGACCAAAUUUAAAUACACUUUUACAGUGAUUUUAAAUUUGGUUUUUUAAACCAUAUCUUUGCCGAAUGUGUACAAAUGAUAAGUUCUUUAACAAUCUGGAAAGCUGAUAUAAAUAUCGGUAUUUAUAUAACAAACGCGGUGUCGCGCUGCUGUUUGUAACGUUAUAAAUACCAAGCUGUUAGUUCAUUCUCUUAUCGUGAAUGAAGUA
rnacentral:tRNA from 1 species